GGCUCAGGACGAACGCUGGCGGCGUGCCUAAUACAUGCAAGUCGAGCGAACCAAUUGAAAGCCUAGCUUUCAUGAGGUUAGCGGCGGACGGGUGAGUAACACGUGGGUAACCUGCCCUAUAGACUGGGAUAACUCGCGGAAACGCGUGCUAAUACCGGAUAACACAUCAAAGUGCAUGCUUUGAUGUUGAAAGAUGGUUCUGCUAUCACUAUAGGAUGGGCCCGCGGCGCAUUAGCUUGUUGGUGGGGUAACGGCCUACCAAGGCGACGAUGCGUAGCCGACCUGAGAGGGUGAUCGGCCACACUGGGACUGAGACACGGCCCAGACUCCUACGGGAGGCAGCAGUAGGGAAUCUUCCACAAUGGGCGAAAGCCUGAUGGAGCAACGCCGCGUGAGCGAAGAAGGUCUUCGGAUCGUAAAGCUCUGUUGUAAGGGAAGAACAAGUGCAGUAGUAACUGGCUGCACCUUGACGGUACCUUACUAGAAAGCCACGGCUAACUACGUGCCAGCAGCCGCGGUAAUACGUAGGUGGCAAGCGUUGUCCGGAAUUAUUGGGCGUAAAGCGCGCGCAGGCGGUCUCUUAAGUCUGAUGUGAAAGCCCCCGGCUUAACCGGGGAGGGUCAUUGGAAACUGGGAGACUUGAGUGCAGGAGAGGGAAGCGGAAUUCCAUGUGUAGCGGUGAAAUGCGUAGAGAUAUGGAGGAACACCAGUGGCGAAGGCGGCUUCCUGGCCUGUAACUGACGCUGAG
rnacentral:rRNA from 1 species